rnacentral:rRNA from 1 species
GAUGAACGCUGGCGGCGUGCUUAACACAUGCAAGUCGAACGAUGAAGCCCAGCUUGCUGGGUGGAUUAGUGGCGAACGGGUGAGUAACACGUGAGUAACCUGCCCUUGACUCUGGGAUAAGCCCGGGAAACUGGGUCUAAUACCGGAUAGGAGCGCCUGUCGCAUGACGGGUGUUGGAAAGAUUUUUCGGUCAUGGAUGGACUCGCGGCCUAUCAGCUUGUUGGUGAGGUAAUGGCUCACCAAGGCGACGACGGGUAGCCGGCCUGAGAGGGUGACCGGCCACACUGGGACUGAGACACGGCCCAGACUCCUACGGGAGGCAGCAGUGGGGAAUAUUGCACAAUGGGCGGAAGCCUGAUGCAGCGACGCCGCGUGAGGGAUGACGGCCUUCGGGUUGUAAACCUCUUUCAGUAGGGAAGAAGCGAAAGUGACGGUACCUGCAGAAGAAGCACCGGCUAACUACGUG